UCCAAGACGAUAUCCAAGACGCUAUUCCAGUUUAUCGAUUUAUCGUCUUCAAAUGUAGCUUUCUCGUCUGAUGUUGUGAUUCUUCUAUAGCCUCCGGCUAGUGAACACAGGGACCGAAGGGGGCGAGGGCCUUCUGCUCUCUCUCACCAUCUAGGUACCCUAUUAUAGUAGGAUUGAAGCAGUUAAUCUACUAUAACAGGAUUUGGUACCCAGUGUGGAGCCGAUGUCGCUUGUAUGGCGUGCAGGGCUUUGAACUCCUGCGGGCUACGUUCGAACUAAACGAGAGUCAGGCUUUCUCUCC
rnacentral:lncRNA from 1 species